rnacentral:tRNA from 1 species
CACGACGAAACAUAGUCAAUAGCUGAUUCGUAAUCAGCAGGUCGGAAGUUCAAAUCUUCUCGCCGGCUCCA